UAGACAUGAGGAUAAUAACAAAAAAGAUUUAAUUUUUAUAAGUAGUUUUUUAGAAGACAAAACAGUGGGAUUUGAGGGUCGACAUAUAGAACAAACAAAAGCUAAAUUCGCAAGUGAUAUUGAUUUAGCUUUGUACUCUUAAAAAUGGAGUUGAGGAGUUUAACUUAAAAGUAGGAGAGAAUUAUAAAGGUGAAGAAGAGGACAAAUUUGGGGCCGUAUAUAUAGUGGAUUGGGGGAUGGAAUCAUGAACGAACGAACAAACAAACAAACAAAAGGCUAAUUAAUGGGUUGGGG
rnacentral:lncRNA from 1 species